GGCAAGACGACCCGCUGAACUUAAGCAUAUCAGUAAGCGGAGGAAAAGAAACUAACUAGGAUUCCCCCAGUAACGGCGAGUGAACAGGGAAAGGCUCAAAUUUGGAAUCUGGCGGGCAGUGCAACACACGCCCGUCCGAGUUGUAAUUUAUAGGGCGCCAUCGCCGCCGACCAUGGCGGCAGGCAGGCGGCCGGGCGGUGCGCACGGUAGUGCAGCAGCGGUGGCAACACCACUGCGACGACUGUGCGUGCUGGACGGUGCGCGGCGGAGCAGCCGGCUGCGCCCCUUGGCACAAGUGUCCUGGAAUGGACCGUCAGAGAGGGUGACAAUCCCGUCAACUGGCCAAGCGGCGGCGGCAACAAGACGCCGGCAGCAUGCUCGUGGUGCCCGACGAGUCGGGUUGUUUGGGAAUGCAGCCCCAAACGGGUGGUACACUCCAUCUAAAGCUAAAUAGCGGCGAGAGACCGAUAGCGAACAAGUACCGUGAGGGU
rnacentral:rRNA from 1 species